rnacentral:lncRNA from 12 species
AAGGCAAUCACUCAUUAACUAAUUAAUUAACUCAUCCAUUCAUUAGCACAGCCCCUGCACUUUGCACUUUGCACUUUCUCUGCAGAUUUUCGGGUUAUUUCCAUUUUUUGCCCUUUUCCUGCACUUUUUUCCACUUUUUCCCUUUUCUUUUUCCCUUUUCUUGCAGUUCCUUUGCAGCUUUUUUCACUUUUUUUGCCCCUUUUCUGCUCUUUUUUCCCUUCCUUCACUCCUCUGCCCUUCCUCUGCACUUUUUGUGCUUUUUCUUCACUUUCUUUGCACUUUUUUACACUUUUUUUUGCUUUUUUUUGCAUUUUUUUCAGAUUUCUCACAGUUUCUUUGCACUUUUUUUGCACCUUUUUUGCCCUUUCCCCCCCUUUUUCUGCCUCUUUUUCGCACCUUUCUUGCUGGUUUUUUGCACCUUUCUUGCUGGUUUUGUGCACCUUUCUUGCUGGUUUUUUGCACAUUUUUUGCAACUUUUUGCACCUUUCUUGCACUUUUUUUCUGCACUUUUUUCUGCACUUUUUUCUGCACUUUUUUCUGCAACUUUUUCCACCUUUUUCCCACCUUUCUUCCACCUUUCUCCCACCUUUCUUCAACCUUUUUUCCACAUUUUUUCCGCCUUUAUUCCAACUUUUUUCCAUCUUUUUCCCUCCUUUUUUCCACCUUUUUCCCACCUUUCUUCCACCUUUCUCCCACCUUUCUUCAACCUUUUUUCCACAUUUUUUCCGCCUUUAUUCCAACUUUUUUCCAUCUUUUUCCCUCCUUUUUUCACCUUUUUCCCUCCUUUUUUCCACCUUUUUUCACCUUUUCCCCACCUUUCUUCCACCUUUUUUCCACAUUUUUUCCACCUUUCUUCCACCUUUUUUCCACCUUUUUCCCACCUUUCUUCCACCUUUUUUCCACUUUUUUCCCACCUUUAUUCCAUCUUUUUCCCACCUUUUUCACACCUUUCUUGCACCUUUACCAC